rnacentral:lncRNA from 13 species
ACUGACUCAGAUAGUUCUUUCUCAUAAAUAAAUCAAAUUUAAUGCAUUUAUUCCAUUUCUUUUUUAUUUUUUUCAGAUGUCUUUUUCACUUGAAUACAUGAUAGGACAUUUUGAGCUACUUGUUGAAGUCUAAUGGAUUGACUGAGACUGUUCCAUCUUACUCUUUUUAGAGGCAAACAAAAAGGAUCAAUCAAACUUCUAAUCCUAAAUUCCACAUUUGCAUGAAGAACUCUGGGGAGCAUCAUCCACUUUCAAUAGCAGGAGGAAGGUAAAAGAAAAUCAAGGACUCAGAAAAAUCCCUUCUAUUGGUUCCAGGACAUUUUAUUUUAGCUUCAGAUAGUUGAGGUAAAAUAUUUCCGUGAUUUAAAAAGAAUGUGUUUUAUUGGAAAACCUCUGUUUAAUUCAAUGAUCAUCUUUUGCUGGAGCAGGUGAGAAAGCACAGCGCCAGUGUGUUAGGCAGACACACAGAUCAGUGACCUCGGGCC